rnacentral:rRNA from 1 species
CGGGGGGAGCAAGCGUUGUUCGGAUUUACUGGGCGUAAAGGGCGGGUAGGCGGCCACUGCAAGUCGGUUGUGAAAUCUCCGGGCUUAACUCGGAAAGGUCAAUCGAUACUGCAGGGCUAGAGUGCAGAAGGGGCAACUGGAAUUCUCGGUGUAGCGGUGAAAUGCGUAGAUAUCGAGAGGAACACCUGCGGCGAAGGCGGGUUGCUGGGCUGACACUGACGCUGAACUGCGAAAGCUAGGGGAGCGAACGGGAUUAGAUACCCCGGUAGUCCUAGCCUUAAACGAUGAAUGCUUGGUGUCUGGGGUUUUAUAGUCCCCGGGUGCCGCCGCUAACGCUUUAAGCAUUCCGCCUGGGGAGUACGGUCGCAAGACUG